rnacentral:rRNA from 1 species
UGGGGAAUAUUGGACAAUGGGCGAAAGCCUGAUCCAGCCAUGCCGCGUGUGUGAAGAAGGUCUUCGGAUUGUAAAGCACUUUAAGUUGGGAGGAAGGGCAUUAACCUAAUACGUUAGUGUUUUGACGUUACCGACAGAAUAAGCACCGGCUAACUCUGUGCCAGCAGCCGCGGUAAUACAGAGGGUGCAAGCGUUAAUCGGAAUUACUGGGCGUAAAGAGCGCGUAGGUGGUUUGUUAAGUUGGAUGUGAAAGCCCCGGGCUCAACCUGGGAACUGCAUUCAAAACUGACUGACUAGAGUAUGGUAGAGGGUGGUGGAAUUUCCUGUGUAGCGGUGAAAUGCGUAGAUAUAGGAAGGAACACCAGUGGCGAAGGCGACCACCUGGACUAAUACUGACACUGAGGUGCGAAAGCGUGGGGAGCAAACA